rnacentral:rRNA from 1 species
UACGUAGGGUGCGAGCGUUGUCCGGAAUUAUUGGGCGUAAAGAGCUCGUAGGCGGUGUGUCACGUCGGCCGUGAAAACCUGCAGCUUAACUGUGGGCGUGCGGUCGAUACGGGCAUCACUGGAGUUCGGCAGGGGAGACUGGAAUUCCUGGUGUAGCGGUGAAAUGCGUAGAUAUCAAGAGGAACACCUGAGGUGAAGACGGGUUGCUGGGCUGACACUGACGCUGAGUGCGCGAAAGCCAGGGGAGCAAACGGG